rnacentral:rRNA from 1 species
GACAGAGGCCCCAAGCGUUAGGCGGAAUCACUGGGCUUAAAGCGUGUGUGGGCGGACGCCUAAGUGUCUUGUGAAAUCCCACGGCUCACCCGUGGAACUGCUGGGCAUACUGGGCGUCUUGGGCCAACUAGGGGCAGCCGGAACAAGCGGUGGAGCGGUGAAAUGCGUAGAUAUCGCUUGGAACGCCGAAGGUGAAAACAGGCUGCUGGGGUUGCGCCGACGCUGAGACACGAAAGCCAGGGGAGCAAACGGG